rfam:Picea glauca, whole genome shotgun sequence.
CACCUACAACAUAGCGUUAAUGCACCAAAUCCCACUAGAACUCUGCAGUUAAGUGUGCUCAAGCUAGAGUAGUACUAGGAUGGGUGACCUCUCGGGAAGUCCUAGUAUUUUACAUGC